rnacentral:rRNA from 1 species
GACGAACGCUGGCGGCGUGCUUAACACAUGCAAGUCGAACGGAAAGGCCCUGCUUUUGUGGGGUGCUCGAGUGGCGAACGGGUGAGUAACACGUGAGUAACCUGCCCUUGACUUUGGGAUAACUUCAGGAAACUGGGGAUAAUACCGGAUAGGAGCUCCCGCCGCAUGGUGGGGGUUGGAAAGUUUCGGCGGUUGGGGAUGGACCCGCGGCUUAUCAGCUUGUUGGUGGGGUAGUGGCUUACCAAGGCUUUGACGGGUAGCCGGCCUGAGAGGGUGACCGGCCACAUUGGGACUGAGAUACGGCCCAGACUCCUACGGGAGGCAGCAGUGGGGAAUAUUGCACAAUGGGCGGAAGCCUGAUGCAGCGACGCCGCGUGCGGGAUGACGGCCUUCGGGUUGUAAACCGCUUUCGCCUGUGACGAAGCGUGAGUGACGGUAAUGGGUGAAGAAGCACCGGCUAACUACGUG